rnacentral:tRNA from 1 species
GGCACUUUGGCGGAGUGGUUAACGCGCUGCCCUGCUAUUCCUACAAGAAUAACCAAAGGCAGUUCCCUCGGGAGCGAGUGUUCGAAUCACUCAGGUGUCG